rnacentral:rRNA from 1 species
GUGAACGCUGGCGGUAGGCCUAACCCAUGCCAGUCGAACGGCAGCACAGUAAGAGCUUGCUCUUACGGGUGGCGAGUGGCGGACGGGUGAGGAAUACAUCGGAAUCUACUUUUUCGUGGGGGAUAACGUAGGGAAACUUACGCUAAUACCGCAUACGACCUACGGGUGAAAGCAGGGGAUCUUCGGACCUUGCGCGAUUGAAUGAGCCGAUGUCGGAUUAGCUAGUUGGCGGGGUAAAGGCCCACCAAGGCGACGAUCCGUAGCUGGUCUGAGAGGAUGAUCAGCCACACUGGAACUGAGACACGGUCCAGACUCCUACGGGAGGCAGCAGUGGGGAAUAUUGGACAAUGGGCGCAAGCCUGAUCCAGCCAUACCGCGUGGGUGAAGAAGGCCUUCGGGUUGUAAAGCCCUUUUGUUGGGAAAGAAAAGCAGCAGGUUAAUACCCCGCUGUUCGGACGGUACCCAAAGAAUAAGCACCGGCUAACUUCGU